rnacentral:rRNA from 1 species
UACGAAGGGGGGCUAGCGUUGCUCGGAAUUACUGGGCGUAAAGGGCGCGUAGGCGGAUACUUAAGUCGGGGGGUGAAAGCCCGGGGCUCAACCUCGGAAUUGCCUUCGAUACUGGGUAUCUUGAGUUCGGGAGAGGUGAGUGGAAUGCCGAGUGUAGAGGUGAAAUUCGUAGAUAUUCGGCGGAACACCAGUGGCGAAGGCGACUCACUGGCCCGAUACUGACGCUGAUGCGCGAAAGCGUGGGGAGCAAACAGG